UUUAAAGAUGUAACAAUAACAAGCAUGUUGACCAAAGAUAAAGAUUCACAACAAGUGUUGGGAUUAUCACAAACAUUCACUGACAAGUAGUUAUGAUUCAGUACAACGAAGCAAGUCAAGCUAAUCAAGCGGGUAUCAAGGGAUAAAGGAAAAAGCACUCACUUUAAAGUUUGAUAGAAAUGUGGCAAGCAAUUCAGACAAGGGUGCCCCAAGGGUCUAAAGAUAGUAAUGUCGUCUUCCCCUGCAAGAGUUAAUGGCAGAGCAAAGAAUGUACAUAUGACAAAGACGGGCAGAGAAAGGUGUUAGACAAGCACAGUUGUCUUGUUAAAGGCAUGUACACUACCUAUCUAAAAUGGAUACUUGCCUUGUGAUGCUAUGGUCUGACAUGUGAGUCAAGAACAAGGCAUGGUUGAUGUAAUCAAGGUUUUGUUCAAAAUCACAAUCUUGAAAAACAAGAAUCUUAUGUAUGUCAUGGCAAGCAAAGUAUGCAAUCAAGUCUAACAGCAUGCAAGGUUUCAUUUCUGGUCAAAGUGGUCACAAAGUCUAGGGGAAUUCAAGCAAGUUGGAAUGAUUCAGAUCAAGUAGUCAAGUCACAAAACUGUCAGGUCAAGUCGCGCAAGUUUAAUGCGUCAUUGCUAUUUCGUAACUACUUUGCUUGGAAGUACUGGAUCAAGUUCAAUCAAGCUGCAAGUAUGGGGAAUCGAUCUAGGGCAGAUUUAGUAUAAUUUGUGGUUUUAAAGUAAUAUUUCGCAAAUAUCAAAAAUGGUAUUCAUAAUCCACUAGAAACCAGCAAACCUAAUAUAAUGUGCUAUACUAGGGUAGCUCGAUUAAUAGACGAGGUGUGAUGCUGUGGUUUGUCUGCUAAACGAAACACUGUUAAAUGAUGUCAUUAUAAUAUGCUGCCUACGUCAUGCUAAGGUGGAGGGGGUGUCGAAGGGAUGUACACAAGCGUUGUCAGCGCAUAAGCCUUGUUUAGUAUGGGGUAGGGGAUGGUAAACUACAAAGGUGAUGGUGCAAAUUAUCAUUAGUU